rnacentral:rRNA from 1 species
UAAAAUUAUAAAUGUGUUAAUAUAGAAGUAUUAGUUAUGUUCUUGAAAUUAAAAAAAUUUGACGGUAUUUUAAUCUUUUUAGGGGAACCUGUUUCGUGAUCGAUAAUCCACGAUUUGUAAUACUUAAAUUUAAAAUUUAUAUAUCAUCGUUGUAAAAUAUUUUAAAAGAAAUUAUUUAAAUUUUAUAUUAAAAAAGAAUUCAGAUCAAGGUGUAGUAAUAUUUAAGAAGAAAAUGGGUUACAAUAAAUUUAUUUAUAUGGAAUAUAGUUUUAAAAAUUAUAUGAAGGUGGACUUAAAAGUAAUUAAUUUUAGAUAAUUUUAGUGAUUUAAGCUCUGAAAUAUGU